UAUCUCUUCGUACGGGGAAGGAUGAGAAGCUUCGACUAAGGUUCGAUUCGAGCGCAGCGAGAAAGCGUUGCCGUAGGCAACGACCCGAAGGGCGAAGCGCGCAGCGCUGAGUAAUCCUUCCCCCGUCAUCC
rnacentral:sRNA from 2 species